CGUUUUUACUGAUUCUGAAUUGGCUAGACUUGACGAGCAACUUGUUUCUAUAUAUAGUACUCGUGAGGCUGAUUUGUGAAUGUAGCUUCAUUUGAAGAUUAUCCGUGCCCUUUUAUGGAUAAUGAGUAUAGCUUGCUAGAUGCUUAUAAAGAUUGUGAAAUCUUCAAUUGGGUUGAACAAGGAUUUAAUAAGAAGCUUCGAAUUUUUACCGGUAGAUAUGGUGUAAUUGAUCCUCCUUUUAAGUUUGCUGGCGAACUUCAAGCGAAGAAGAAAUGGCUGCAUACAUUAAAUUUCGU